rnacentral:rRNA from 1 species
UGGGGAAUAUUGCACAAUGGGCGCAAGCCUGAUGCAGCCAUGCCGCGUGUAUGAAGAAGGCCUUCGGGUUGUAAAGUACUUUCAGUCGGGAGGAAGGUGUCAAGGUUAAUAACCUUGGCAAUUGACGUUACCGACAGAAGAAGCACCGGCUAACUCCGUGCCAGCAGCCGCGGUAAUACGGAGGGUGCAAGCGUUAAUCGGAAUUACUGGGCGUAAAGCGCACGCAGGCGGUUGAUUGAGUCAGAUGUGAAAUCCCCGGGCUUAACCCGGGAAUUGCAUCUGGUACUGGUCAGCUAGAGUCGUGUAGAGGGGGGUAGAAUUCCAUGUGUAGCGGUGAAAUGCGUAGAGAUGUGGAGGAAUACCGGUGGCGAAGGCGGCCCCCUGGACAAAGACUGACGCUCAGGUGCGAAAGCGUGGGGAGCAAACAGG